UACGUAGGGUGCAAGCGUUGUCCGGAAUUAUUGGGCGUAAAGAGCUCGUAGGCGGUUUGUCGCGUCUGCCGUGAAAGUCCGGGCUCAACUCCGGAUCUGCGGUGGGUACGGGCAGACUAGAGUGCGGUAGGGGAGAUUGGAAUUCCUGGUGUAGCGGUGGAAUGCGCAGAUAUCAGGAGGAACACCGAUGGCGAAGGCAGAUCUCUGGGCCGUAACUGACGCUGAGGAGCGAAAGCGUGGGGGAGCGAACAGG
rnacentral:rRNA from 1 species